rnacentral:rRNA from 1 species
CAUCUCUUUAUGAUUAAUGAUUUAAGGUUUAAUCUGCUCAAUGAUUAAGAAUAUUAAAUUGCUGCGGUAAAUUAACUGUACAAAGGUAGCAUAAUAAAUUGUUUUUUUAUUGGAAACUUGAAUGAAUGAUUGGACAAAAAAUUUUCUGUCUCAUUUUGAAUUUUUUAAUUUUACUUAAAAGUUAAAAGGCUUUUAUAAAUUUAAGGGACGAGAAGACCCUGUAGAGUUUUAUUUAAUAUUAAUUAUUUGUUUUAUAUUAUUUAUUUUUUUAAUUGUUUAUUAAAUUUAACUGGGGUUGUUGAUUAAUUAAUUAAAAUUAAUUAUUUAUGUAUCAUUAAUUUGUGAAUAUUUAUUAUUUAUUUUUGAAGUUAAAAUAAAUUACCUCAGGGAUAACAGCGUAAUCUUUAUUUGAAGUUCAUAUUUUAAUAAAGGAUUUCGACCUCGAUGUUGGAUUAAAAUUUGAAUUUAAUGGAGAUAUUAAAUUUCUUAGUCUGUUCGACUAUUAAAAUUUUACAUGAUCUGAGU